UACGGGGGGGGCAAGCGUUGUUCGGAAUUACUGGGCGUAAAGGGCGCGUAGGCGGCUCUGCACGUUCGUUGUGAAAUCGCCCGGCUCAACUGGGCGGGGUCAGCGGAUACGGCAGAGCUUGAGCAAGCUAGGGGGCAAUGGAAUUCCCGGUGUAUUGGUGGAAUGCGUAGAUAUCGGGAGGAACACCAGUGGCGAAGGCGGUUGCCUGGGGCUUUGCUGACGCUGAUGCGCGAAAGCGUGGGGAGCGAUCCGG
rnacentral:rRNA from 1 species